AACGAACGCUGGCGGCAGGCUUAACACCUGCAAGUCGAGCGGAGACUUCGGUCUUAGCGGCGAACGGGUGAGUAAUACCUAGGAAUCUGCCUAUUAGUGGGGGAUAACGAAUCGAAAGGUUCGCUAAUACCGCAUACGUCCUACGGGAGAAAGGGGGGGAUCUUCGGACCUCUCGCUAAUAGAUGAGCCUAGGCCGGAUUAGCUAGUUGGUAGGGUAAAGGCCUACCAAGGCGACGAUCUGUAGCUGGUCUGAGAGGAUGGCCAGCCACACUGGAACUGAGACACGGUCCAGACUCCUACGGGAGGCAGCAGUGGGGAAUAUUGGACAAUGGGGGCAACCCUGAUCCAGCCAUGCCGCGUGUGUGAAGAA
rnacentral:rRNA from 1 species